rnacentral:rRNA from 1 species
CCACCUGUGCACAUAUUGUAGGUCUGGAAUAAAUUUCUGGGGUAACUCAGUAGUGGGGAAUGCUGCUGCGAAGCGGCUUUGCCUGUAAUUUCAGAUCUAUGUUUUCAUAUACACCAUAAAAAUGUAACAGAAUGUAAUAAUGGGUCUUGUACCUAUAAACUAUAUACAACUUUCAGCAACGGAUCUCUUGGCUCUCGCAUCGAUGAAGAACGCAGUGAAAUGCGAUAAGUAAUGUGAAUUGCAGAAUUCAGUGAAUCAUCGAAUCUUUGAACGCACCUUGCGCUCCUUGGUAUUCCGAGGAGCAUGCCUGUUUGAGUGUCAUUAAAUUCUCAAUCUUAUUAGCUUUUGUUAAUAAAGACUUGGAUGUGGGGGGAAAAUUUUUUUGAAGGUUUCUCGCGAGCCUUCUCCCCUAAAAUGCAUUAGCUGGUCGCUCGCGCGAACUGUCUAUUGGUGUGAUAAUUAUCUACGCCAUUGACUAACUGCCAUAGUAGCACUGCUUCUAAUCGUCUUCGGACAAUUUAUGACAAUUUGACCUCAAAUCAGGUAGGACUACCCGCUGAACUUAA